AUUCUUUAAUGAGGGCACUUUCAUAAUAAUUUUUUGUACCUUUCCCAUGCCUCAUACAAAGACUCAUCAUCCAUUUGUUGGAAAUCAAUGAUCUCGUUCCUCAACUU
rfam:Gossypium raimondii chromosome 13, whole genome shotgun sequence.